CAUGUAGGCGGAUUGAUAAGUUUGAAGUGAAAUCCUAUAGCUUAACUAUAGAACUGCUUUGAAAACUGUUAAUCUAGAAUGUAGGAGAGGUAGAUGGAAUUUCUGGUGUAGGGUAAAUCCGUAGAGAUCAGAAGGAAUACCGAUUGCGAAGGCGAUCUACUGGAACAUUAUUGGCGCUGAGAUGCGAAAGCGUGGGAGCAAACA
rnacentral:rRNA from 1 species